AAAGCAAAAGGAAUUGAGAAACAACAGACAAAUCAGGUAAUCAGAUGUGCAAUGCACAAGACUCAAAUCACAUGAGUCAAGCCACCUACAAAACAAAGGUUAGCUCAUGAUAAACAGUCAAGCUUGAUCAAAAGAAAUUGAUCUCAUUAGUCACUUGGUGUUCAACCUGAAAACAUAAGCUCAACAGUGAGUAACUGGACCACUAGGACAAGC
rnacentral:lncRNA from 1 species